ensembl:lncRNA
CCGAGGUCUAUGGUGAUAGGUGGGAUGGGCUGAGUGGCUGAGAGUUGAGGUUAAGAGCUGAGGUCUAUGGUGACAGGUGGGAUGGGCUGAGUGGCUGAGGGUUGAGAUUAAGAGCUGAGGUCUAUGGUGAUAGGUGGGAUGGGCUGAGUGGCUGAGGGUUGGGAUUAAGAGCUGAGGUCUAUGGUGAUAGGUGGGAUGGGCUGAGUGGCUGAGAGUUGAGAUUAAGAGCUGAGGUCUAUGGUGAUAGGUGGGAUGGGCUGAGUGGCUGAGGGUUGAGAUUAAAGAGCUGAGGUCUAUGGUGAUAGGUGGGAUGGGCUGAGUGGG